rnacentral:lncRNA from 1 species
UGCAUACAUCAAGGCCAGAAGCUGUAAACAAUUGCCUGCACAAUCUUUCUCAUUUGGACUGAAAACAUCACUUUUUCCAGAAUCUGGCAUCUAAGGCAAAGGGAAGAGAAUGAUCUGUAAAAAAAGAUAAACAUCAAAAGAAGAAAUUUUAAAAAAUGUUUCAUGUAUUCCAAGCGAACACACUCUUUUCUGAACUCUGGGGUUCAAGUAGGAGGCCUGUUUUGAAGAACCUAAAUGAUUAGGCAUAUUCAAAAAAAUGCCAAAUCAAUAUUCAAAUCAUUUCCAUCCCAGGAAAUGAAAAAGAAAAAUCCAACAGGAUGUAAUCACAAGGCACAUAUCAGUGCUGUCAAAAGGAACUGCUUUCAAUGUCACAAGGGAAGAUGGUGAAGCUUGAUCAUCAGUGAUGAGACAGAAAAGCUGGAAGCUAGAAUGAGGAAAACACAGCAAGAGAAAAGUCAGACAGAAAAAGAGAGAGACGCUUAAUGAAAGUAUGAAAUGUAAAGGAUGAACAUUUUGGCAAGUCAGAGACCUGAAGUGAAGCAUCAGGGCAAAGGAAGCAAAAGUGAUCAAAUGGAUCAUUUAACAAAGAAGCCAAGGAAAAGUGCGGGAUGCUGUGGGAAGCAGAGAGAUUGAAACUGAAAUUAGAGAGGAAAGUUGAAAUGUAGUGAGAUGAUUGGCACUGAUAGGACAUGGCAGCAGCUGUAAAGAAGAGAAGAGACUUCCUGCAAGUGCUGAAAAUGAAAGGAGAAUUGAGAGGGUCUGCAGGGAAUGAUGAAGGGAGUGUCCUGGUACCAACAAACUGAUCUGGUCUACGUGCUCUACAGCUACAACAGGAUUGCUAGGAGAUUGGCUUUGUGUCAUCACGGCUUUGUCUGUGUGCACAAUCAGUCAUUGGAAAGUUGGUUCAGCUCAUGUGUUCAGUCAGAUAAGUAUGCCUUUGCUGCCACUGAUGCUUCUACAGGAUAGUGAAAUCAUAAACCUAUCAUUUGAGAUGAGGACUUGAGAAAUACAGUUUUAUUGCCUUUCAGGUACUUCAGCUCCAAGUGAUCCCAUUAAUUUCUUUGGACUAAAACACACAGCACGUCUUAAAGCAGUUUUAUUUGAUUGGGUAGUCUCUUGAGCAGGGGGCCCUGGAAUAGAUAUAGGUCAGAUACUUCAGUUAAAUUAGCAAAGCUCCAUUGCGCUAUUGCACUAGUCAGACACAUUGAAGCUACUGAUGAUUUAUGAACUCUAAUGAACCAAGCCUUUAAUAAAGUUCUGCUGUGGUACUUCA